rnacentral:rRNA from 1 species
AUUGAACGCUGGCGGCAGGCCUAACACAUGCAAGUCGAGCGAGCGGCGGACGGGUGUGUAAUGUAUGGGGCCUCCCCUAUAGAGGGGGAUAACUACUGGAAACUGUGUCUAAUACCGUAUACUCUCAUAUAACCCAUAUGGGAUUAGCUAGUAGGGGGGGUAAAGGCGAACCUAGGCGACGACCUCUAGCUGGUCUGAGAGGAGGAUCAGCGACACGGGGACUGAGACACGGCCCAGACGCCGACGGAGGCAGAAGUGGGGAAUAUUGCACAAUGGGCGCAAGCCUGAUGCAGCAAGGCCGCGUGUAUGAAGAAGGCCUUAGGGUUGUAAAGGACUUUCAGCGGGGAGGCGUUACCCGCAGAAGAAGCACCGGCUAACUCCGUGCCAGCAGCCGCGGUAAUAC